rnacentral:lncRNA from 1 species
CUUCUUGUACCCCACAUGCUUGAAGCCCACCUCAAUAAAUCCAUCUUAAUCUUGCCUUCAUGGAACACAUUGAGCUACUCUUCCUUGUUUGCAUGGUCUAGUAAAAUCAAAAUCUCUUUAAUGUCACCGUUGGCCUUCAUAAAUCAUCUACAUUUCUUGGCAGGAAAAGUUACCUUGCUGAAAACAUUUGUAUUCCUGCAAGGUACGUACCAUAACUAAUAUAAGAUCAAACAGUUGAGAUCAAAUCAAGGUAUGACUUCUUGAAUUUAUACCAUAAAAUGAGAUAAAUAUGCCCAUGCACCAUUACUUCAAACAUCAAUCCAAGCAGACUUGGGUUCUGGUUAAGAUGACAUUGUUUGUUUUUGUUUG